GGACCCGCACAAGUAGUGGAGCAUGUGGUUUAAUUCGAAGAUACGCGCAGAACCUUACCAACACUUGACAUGUUCGUCGCGACUUUAAGAGAUUAAAGUUUUCGGUUCGGCCGGACGAAACACAGGUGCUGCAUGGCUGUCGUCAGCUCGUGUCGUGAGAUGUUGGGUUAAGUCCCGCAACGAGCGCAACCCUCACUUUUAGUGCCAUCAUUUAGUUGGGCACUCUGAAAGAACUGCCAGUGAUAAGCUGGAGGAAGGUGGGGAUGACGUCAAGUCCUCAUGGCCCUUACGUGUUGGGCUACACACGUGCUACAAUGGUAUCUACAACAGGAAGCAAAAUCGCGAGGUUAAGCAAAUCCUUAAAAGAUACCUCAGUUCGGAUUGCACUCUGCAACUCGAGUGCAUGAAGCUGGAAUU
rnacentral:rRNA from 1 species